UUGAUAAGUUUGGGGGUCGUUGAUUUUUAUUUGCAUUAGUAGAUUGUUAGUAUUUUGUGGACAAUUUGGGUUUAUAUUGUUGUUAAAUGUUGCAUUUAGGAUUGCAUGUUAAUUCCAGCUAUUUGGUAGUUACGUAUGUUUGGGGCCAAUGAUGAAAUUAAAAUUGCAUGAACAAGUCUAGUAAGGAUUGUUAAGCUAGUGAUAUGAUUUCCUGGACAUGAUUUACAUCUUUAUCUGUUUGACACUGAUAUUAUCAGGAUAGCACAUUUUGAAAAAUGACCAUGUUGGCUAAGAAAGUUUAAAUGGCUAGAUAAUAGAGUUCUAAAGGAUGAAUGCUAGUGAAAUGAAGGAACAAUUUGAAUAGCUAGUGAUGACUGAAUUUAGACAUAAACUGAAGUUUGGGGGAAAAAUAUUUGGAAUAUAUAAGCUUUGAAAAAAAAAACUAUAAUAAACACGUGGCAUGCUUGUCUAGUUUUGUGGCCGUUGUUACUUGAGUAAGUAAACCCGAGGGGAUUGUCUCUACACCUAGCGCCCUAAGGUCUUAAUGGCUUGGGAGUCGUUGGUCGAAAGCUCGUUAAGGUAACACUAGAAAGCCUAAGGGAAUAAGACAGUGCAUAGUCAUGAGGAAAAAAAACAUAAUAAUUAUAAUAAAGCAGGAAAAGUGCAAAAAGCCCCCGUUAAAAAAAAGAAGCAUACGUAUUCCAUUAAUUUUGACCCUUGGACUUUGGUAAUUGUUUGAUUUCAACCGAAUCAAGAUUAUUUGAUGAGUUCUCGAGUUUACACUGUAUGAUGCCUGCUAAGAAAUUUAUUCUCUUUCAUAUUUUUGUUUUUCAUUGGUUAGCAUGGUUGUUGAACACACACACACGAUAUCAGUAAUAACAGAUUUAGAGUCAUUGAUUGUGGGGAUAUUAUUGAUCUAUCUUAGCAUGAUGUAUUAACAUGUUUUUGUGAUUUUUCUGAG
rnacentral:lncRNA from 1 species